rnacentral:rRNA from 1 species
AAGCUCGUAGUUGAAUUUCGGGGUUAGUAGGUUGGUCAUGCCUCUGGUAUGUACUGGUCUCACUGAUUCCUCCUUCCUUAUGAACCGUAAUGCCAUUAAUUUGGUGUUGCGGGGAAUUUGGACUGUUACUUUGAAAAAAUUGAGUGUUUAAAGCAAGCUAACGCUUGAAUACAUUAGCAUGGAAUAAUGAAAUAGGACGUUCGAUCUUAUUUUGUUGGUUUCUAGGAUUGACGUAAUGAUUAAUAGGGUAGUUGGG